GACGAACGCUGGCGGCGUGCUUAACACAUGCAAGUCGAGCGAGAGAAAUUCCUUCGGGAAGGACUCUAGCGGCGGACGGGUGAGUAACACGUGGGUAACUUGCCUCAUAGAGGGGAAUAGCCUUUCGAAAGGAAGAUUAAUACCGCAUAAGAUUGUAGUAUCGCAUGAUGCAGCAAUUAAAGGAGUAAUCCGCUAUGAGGUGGACCCGCGUCGCAUUAGCUAGUUGGUGAGGUAACGGCUCACCAAGGCGACGAUGCGUAGCCGACCUGAGAGGGUGAUCGGCCACAUUGGGACUGAGACACGGCCCAGACUCCUACGGGAGGCAGCAGUGGGGAAUAUUGCACAAUGGGAGAAACCCUGAUGCAGCAACGCCGCGUGAGUGAUGACGGUCUUCGGAUUGUAAAACUCUGUCUUCAGGGACGAUAAUGACGGUACCUGAGGAGGAAGCCACGGCUAACUACGUGCCAGCCGCCGCCGUAA
rnacentral:rRNA from 1 species